GCCGGCGUGGCGCAAUUGGUUAGCGCGUCAGACUUUUAUGUAACAUAGAGGUAUCUGAAUGUUGCGAGUUCGAGUCUCGCCGUUGGCG